GACAUGUAGGUAUUACAGACUGGGUCAGGUUGAGACAUGUAGGUAUUACAGACUGGGUCAGGUUGAGACAUGUAGGUAUUACAGACUGGGUCAGGUUGAGACAUGUAGGUAUUACAGACUGGGUCAGGUUGAGACAUGUAGGUAUUACAGACUGGGUCAGGUUGAGACAUGUAGGUAUUACAGACUGGGACAGGUUGAGACAUGUAGGUAUUACAGACUGGGUCAGGGUCAGGUUGAGACAUGUUGGUAUUACAGACUGGGUCAGGUUGAGACAUGUAGGUAUUACAGACUGGGUCAGGUUGAGACAUGUAGGUAUUACAGACUGGGUCAGGUUGAGACAUGUUGGUAUUACUGACUGGGUCAGGUUGAGACAUGUAGGUAUUACAGACUGGGUCAGGUUGAGACAUGUAGGUAUUACAGACUGGGUCAGGUUGAGACAUGUAGGUAUUACAGACUGGGUCGGGUUGAGACAUGUAGGUAUU